AAUGAACGCUGGCGGCGUGCCUUACACAUGCAAGUCGAGCGAGGCGGGUAGCAAUACCCAGUCGAGCGGCGAACGGGUGAGUAACGCGUGGAUGACCUGCCCUUCAGUGGGGAAUAACUCGGGGAAACUUGAGCUCAUACCGGGUGAGCCCUUAGGGGGAAAGAUUUAUCGCCGAAAGAACGGCCCGCGUUAGGUUAGCUAGUUGGUGAGGUAAAGGCUCACCAAGGCUACGAUCUAUAGAUGGUCUGAGAGGAUGAUCAGCCACACUGGGACUGGGACACGGCCCAGACUCCUACGGGAGGCAGCAGCGGGGAAUCUUGCGCAAUGGGCGAAAGCCUGACGCAGCCAUGCCGCGUGAAUGAUGAAGGUCUUAGGAUUGUAAAAUUCGUUUACCAGGGACGAUAAUGACGGUACCUGGAGAAAAAGCCCCGGCUAACUUCGUGCCAGCCGCCGCCGUAAAAC
rnacentral:rRNA from 1 species